UCAAUUUUGGGGUGCUAGCGCCCCAUUAGACCGUAGCAUCCGUUCGAGUUCGACGGUUUCCGCCUAUCGCACGUGCUACCGCUAGGAAAAAAUCGAUUCAAGGAUGUGAAAAGAAUAAGGAAUAAAAUAUGAUCCUGAUGUAAAUAUACAAGAGAAGAGAAAGAAAGUAUAAAAGUAGCUAGGACGAUUUAAAAAUAGGUCAGAAUUUUCUGAUGAAAAAUUGUCUUGUAUAUUCAUGAUGCAAUCGAAAUAAAAACUACACUGCCAAUUGCUGCAAAGAUAAGCUCGAAGUUGAGUAACUACCACCUCCUUUAAUUUCUCCACACAUUCUCUGUAUUCAGAGACGACCUUCAGUCUUUGUGGUGAUCAAUAAAUAGCUACGGAGGAUCGGAUGCAACUGGUCACUAUUUGGUCAAAAUGUUCCUUUCAACUACAGCUAGCUCCCAUGUGGACAUGGCAUGACAAGCCUCCACCUCGCCAUCGACACACAUAUAUAUGUUGUUCUCGUCUACAAAUCAAGGUUUUGUUUAGUUUCACCUGAAAUUUAAUUUUUUUUAAAAUUUACCGUCACAUCGAAUCUUGCAAUACAUACAUGAAGCAUUAAAUAUAAAUAAAAAAAAAUAACUAAUUGUAAAAUUUAUUUAUAAAUCAUAAUAUAAAUCUAGCUAAAUCAAAAAAAAAUUGGAACUUAACAAGAUCUAAGCCAAAUCACUGUCGGUCAUUCAACCGGCGGCAAGGCAUCCGGCGAGGCUUCAUCAACGGGCGACGGAUAAGUAGGGUACGAGUUGGAUCGAGCUUCUUGCCUACUUAUAUAAAUCGUGGGCUAAAGACCAUUAGGCUCAAUUUCCGUGCAUACUGGACCGGGCCAACAUUUGGUGACGGGUGCUUUGCCUUUGUGACCCAAAACUCCCAAAUCCCAAGCCCAUGUUGGCGACACUAAAAUUCAGAGAGCCUAUGUAAAGUUUUUGCACUAGAAAAUCUAUAAUUCUUAUAAAGCUAAACUCCACUAGAUAAAUUCUCUCUUCAUGUAAAGUGUCAACAUCAUUCUCCACUAAGUGACCCAAUAAAUAUUUUAUUUCUCCACGCAAGAUGUCCACAUCAUUCUCCACUA
rnacentral:lncRNA from 1 species